CAGUCGCCGCGGUAACACGAAGGGUGCAAGCGUUAAUCGGAAUUACUGGGCGUAAAGCGCGCGUAGGUGGUUUGGUAAGAUGGAUGUGAAAUCCCCGGGCUCAACCUGGGAACUGCAUCCAUAACUGCCUGACUAGAGUACGGUAGAGGGUGGUGGAAUUUCCUGUGUAGCGGUGAAAUGCGUAGAUAUAGGAAGGAACACCAGUGGCGAAGGCGACUACCUGGACUGAUACUGACACUGAGGUGCGAAAGCGUGGGGAGCAAACAGGAUUAGAUACCCCAGUAGUCCCUGUCUCUUAUAC
rnacentral:rRNA from 1 species